GUGUGUGUGUGUGUGUAUGUCAAGUAAGCCUCUCCGUUCUCUCUGCUUCAGUCCUCCCUUGCUGUUCUGCCAGUCAGUCAUCAUGGCAACUGAGGAGGGGGAGGACAAGGACGAAGAUGAUGAUGAUGACACCAACAAGUGGUGUCUUUGACGACAGUUAGGUGGUGAAUCGCUCCUAAGGGCGGACCUGGGCCCUGUUCCCUUCCUACUUCCUACAUCCGCUUCCUACUUCCUCUUUCCUUUUCCUACUUCCUCCAACUUCUCUUCCUCUUCCCUUCCUCAUCCGCUUCCUGUUUCCUACACCCAAACUUUCUCUUUCCCUUUCCACUUUCCACUCCCUUUCUUUGGGAGCAGAGUCCAGUGGGCAGAAGAGAUAGAUAGACCAAUAGAUACCAACGACAGACAGAUCUCCUUGGAGACCAGUGACAGCUCCAAGGAAAUAAAGAAAUAGAGGAGACAGAGGUCAGCUCCUCAGCCAGAAGAAGAAGAGCUUACUCUAUCUACCUGGCCUGCCUGAAAAGCUCAGUGCCUGACCCCAAAGAAGGAGGUCUCAGACACUUUCAAUGAUGACUCAGUGCCCGACUCAGAAAAGGACGUCUUGGGCACUUUCAAGGAUGUCUCAGGCACUCUGAAAGACGUCUCAGACACUCUGAAAGACGUCUCAGGCACUCUCAAAGACGGCUCAAUGCCUGAACCAAAGAAGGAAGUCUCAGUUCCUGACCCAGAAAAGUAUGUCUUAGAGCCUGACCCAGAAAAAGACGUCUCAGGCACUCUCAAGGAAGUCUCAGGCACUCUCAAGGACAUCUCAGUGCCUGACCCAAAGAAGUAAGUCUCAGUGCCUGACCCAGAAAAGGUUGUCUUAGAGCCUGACCCAGAAAAAGACGUCUCAGGCAUUUUCAAGGACGUCUCAGGCACUUUCAAGGACGUCUCGGGCACUCUCAAGGACGUUUCAGUGCCUGACCCAAAGAAGGAAGUCCUAGAAAAAGACGUCUCAGGCACUUUCAAGGACAUCUCAGGCACUUUCAAGGACGUCUCAGGCACUCUCAAGGACUGACCCAGAAAAGGACGCCUCAGUGCCUGACCCAGAAAAAGACGCCUCAGUACCUGACCCAGAAAAGGACGUCACAGUGCCUGACCCAGAAAAGGACGUCUCAGUGCCUGACCCAGAAAAUGACGUCUUAGUGCCAGACCCAGAAAAGGACGUCUCAGGCACUCUCAAGGACGUCUUAGGCACUUUCAAGGACGUCUCGGGCACUCUCAAGGACGUUUCAGUGCCUGACCCAAAGAAGGAAGUCCUAGAAAAAGACGUCUCAGGCACUUUCAAGGACGUCUCAGGCACUCUCAAGGACUGACCCAGAAAAGGACGCCUCAGUGCCUGACCCAGAAAAAGACGCCUCAGUACCUGACCCAGAAAAGGACGUCACAGUGCCUGACCCAGAAAAGGACGUCUCAGUGCCUGACCCAGAAAAUGACGUCUUAGUGCCAGACCCAGAAAAGGACGUCUCAGGCACUCUCAAGGACGUCUUAGUGCCCGACCUAGAAAAGGAUGUCUCAGUGCCCGACCCAGAAAAGGACGGCACACUCAAAGACUUUUCUCCUGAGAAGUUCCAGGCGCUUCUCUCCCCCUGUGGGCCCACAGGAUGACCCAUGGAGAGGAUUAACAUGGCGGCACCCUAACGGAGCCAAAGACAGAGAUGUGUACAAACACAAACAUGCAUGGUUUCGUAAUGUUUGCAGAUGUGCGUAUGCAGACUAGCAGACUUGAGUAGACUGGGUCCGACGAAAAGCACAGCCUUUGUGUAUUACUGAAAUGUAUGAUGUAAUAGUCACAGAAUCACUGUUAUGGUUUUGCGAGUUGACCACACCACAGUGAGGGACUGGAGGCGUGUCAUGAUCCGACCUGUCACACCCACCCACUAGCUACACUUUGUUGCGGGGGGCACCUGGACCGACUUGUAUUUUACACACACAUAUAUUGUAUUUAACACACACUCUAAACUCCAUUAGCGUGAAUACGGAUAUAGCAUUUCUAAAGCUACAUGACUGCCACGCAUGUUUGUAAACUCGAAUAUAGCAGAUUUGAUGUAUGUAAACUUGAAUAUACUGAAGCACACAAAGCAAUACGUAUCUGUAGUGCUAUGUGCUCUUGCAUCUAUUGGACAACCUCUUUUACUUAGUUGUGUGGAGGGGAACCUGUCACGGCAUUGCCAGUCAGCGAGCAUUAUAGCAGCUUUAUAUCUUUGUGCGUAUUGCUGUGAGGACAGGCGGGGUGCUCCCUGUUCUGUUCAUGUCUGUCCAGCUGUAUGGCAGUGUUUCGAUGGGCCACACAAAAAUGUUCCCCAUAAUUAUAAUAAAAAAAAAAUUCUGA